CCUACGGGGGGCAGCAGUGGGGAAUAUUGCACAAUGGGCGAAAGCCUGAUGCAGCGACGCCGCGUGGGGGAUGAAGGCCUUCGGGUUGUAAACCCCUUUCAGCAGGGAAGAAGCGAAAGUGACGGUACCUGCAGAAGAAGCGCCGGCUAACUACGUGCCAGCAGCCGCGGUAAUACGUAGGGCGCAAGCGUUGUCCGGAUUUAUUGGGCGUAAAGAGCUCGUAGGUGGUCUGUCGCGUCCGCUGUGAAAACCCGAGGCUCAACCUCGGGCCUGCAGUGGGUACGGGCAGACUAGAGUGCGGUAGGGGAGACUGGAAUUCCUGGUGUAGCGGUGGAAUGCGCAGAUAUCAGGAGGAACACCGAUGGCGAAGGCAGGUCUCUGGGCCGCAACUGACACUGAGGAGCGAAAGCAUGGGGAGCGAACAGGAUUAGAUACCCUAGUAGUC
rnacentral:rRNA from 1 species